rnacentral:rRNA from 1 species
AACGAACGCUGGCGGCAGGCUUAACACAUGCAAGUCGAACGCAUCCUUCGGGGUGAGUGGCAGACGGGUGAGUAACGCGUGGGAACGUGCCCUUCAGUUCGGGAUAACCCAGGGAAACUUGGGCUAAUACCGGAUACGUGCGAGAGCAGAAAGAUUUAUCGCUGAAGGAUCGGCCCGCGUCUGAUUAGCUAGUUGGUGGGGUAAUGGCCCACCAAGGCGACGAUCAGUAGCUGGUCUGAGAGGAUGCUCAGCCACAUUGGGACUGAGACACGGCCCAAACUCCUACGGAGGCAGCAGUGGGGAAUAUUGGACAAUGGGCGCAAGCCUGAUCCAGCCAUGCCGCGUGAGUGAUGAAGGCCUUAGGGUUGUAAAGCUCUUUCGUCCGGGACGAUAAUGACGGUACCGGAAGAAGAAGCCCCGGCUAACUUCGUGCCAGCCGCCGCGGUAA